rnacentral:misc_RNA from 1 species
CAAUAUCCAGAAGGAGUCCACCCUGCACCUUGUCCUCCGUCUCCGUGGUGGUUUUUAAGUUGUGGUUGUCUGGUUGCGUCUGUUGCCCGUUGUCUGUUGCCCAUUGUGGUGGUUGUGUUUGUAUGAUGGUCGUUAAGGAUCAUCAAUGUGUUUUCGCUUUUUGUUCCAUUCUGUUUCUCAUUUGUGAAUAAUAAUGGUAUCUUUAUGAAUAUGCAGUUUGUGGUUUUUAAGUUGUGGUUGU